rnacentral:rRNA from 1 species
CAGUAGCCGCGGGAAUACGUAGGUGGCAAGCGUUGUCCGGAAUUAUUGGGCGUAAAGGGCUCGCAGGCGGUUUCUUAAGUCUGAUGUGAAAGCCCCCGGCUCAACCGGGGAGGGUCAUUGGAAACUGGGAAACUUGAGUGCAGAAGAGGAGAGUGGAAUUCCACGUGUAGCGGUGAAAUGCGCAGAGAUGUGGAGGAACACCAGUGGCGAAGGCGACUCUCUGGUCUGUAACUGACGCUGAGGAGCGAAAGCGAGGGGAGCGAACAGGAUUAGAUACCCCCGUAGUCCCUGUCUCUUAUAA